CUGAGGCAUGAGUUACUGGUCAGCGCUGGACUGUCCUACUGGUUGGAGGCCCGGCGUACUCAUGUCUUGGCCAAGAUUGAAAGAUGAUGACAGUGGGGACCAUGAUCAGAAUGAAGAAAACAGCACACAGAAAGAUGGUGAGAAGGAAAAAAUGGACCGAGACAAGGGUCAGGGCAGCAGCAAGAGGAAGGCUGUUGUUCCCGGGCCGGCAGAGCAUCCCUUGCAGUACAACUACACUUUCUGGUACUCCCGGAGAACCCCCGGCCGCCCCACCAGCUCCCAGAGCUACGAACAGAAUAUCAAGCAGAUCGGCACCUUCGCCUCCGUAGAGCAGUUCUGGAGGUUCUACAGCCACAUGGUGCGCCCCGGGGACCUGACGGGCCACAGCGACUUCCACCUCUUCAAAGAAGGGAUUAAGCCCAUGUGGGAGGACGACGCCAAUAAGAACGGCGGCAAGUGGAUCAUUCGGCUCCGGAAGGGCUUGGCCUCCCGGUGCUGGGAGAAUCUCAUCCUGGCCAUGCUGGGGGAGCAGUUCAUGGUUGGGGAGGAGAUCUGUGGGGCUGUGGUCUCUGUCCGCUUCCAGGAGGACAUUAUUUCAAUAUGGAACAAGACUGCCAGCGACCAAGCCACCACGGCCCGCAUCCGCGACACUCUUCGGCGAGUGCUUAACCUACCUCCCAACACCAUUAUGGAAUACAAAACCCACACCGACAGCAUCAAGUGGUUUCGAUGUGACCUAACAGGCCUGGGUGCCGGGUGGACGAGCCGCCUCCUGCGCCUGCCUUUCGUGUCGCUCUGCCUCCUCCCAGCGCCAGCCUCCGGCCGCCUUCCGUUCCCAGUGAGUGUGUGUGACGACAUUCCUUUCCCACGCACCUUCGUGUUAGGGUUUCACACGGGAAGAAGGCGCUUUUGAAGAGAGCUGGGCAGUUUAAUACUGGCGUGGACUAGCGGGGCGCGCUGAAGCCCCCCUGCUGCGGCUUCCCGCCACAGCAGCCGCUGUCUCGCUAGGGGAGGCGUCUCGGGAAACGAAGGGAUACAUGGUGAAGGACGAUGCUUCAGUGCGGCCAUGUCAUUGCUGGUUGGCACCUGUGUGACUUCAGAAUUUAAGUGUCACAGGACAAGAAAGGGCUUUCCCGGGUGGUUGCCCGAGCCCUGGAUUUUGCUUUGUCCUUGUCUGCAUUUGGAGUGAAGAGCGAAAAGGCCUUCGGACAUCGGUCACGGACUCGCCGAGGUCACCGCAUCACUGCCACCAGGAAGGGCUGUGGAACAGACACCUUACUGUGGAAAAGCAGCUUGUGAAUUGACAGACUGGCGCGCGUUGGCAGUCUCUGCUCUCCACUUCAGCUGGCAUCUGUUAGUGGCUCUGGUAAUGCUCAGAAGAAACGAUUAGCAGCAAAUCAACAUCUGAGACCAAGAGGGCCUGGGAGGAGUUUCAUGGCCUGGUGAACAGCAGCGGCCGCUGAUCGGACGCUCCCCUCUGUCUCUCACACUCAGGGUA